GAUGAAGAACGUAGCGAAAUGCGAUAAGUAAUGUGAAUUGCAGAUUUCAGUGAAUCAUCGAAUCUUUGAACGCACAUUGCGCCCGCCAGUAUUCUGGCGGGCAUGCCUGUUCGAGCGUCAUUACAACCCUCAGGCCCCCGGGCCUGGCGUUGGGGAUCGGCGGAGCCCCCCGUGGGCACACGCCGUCCCCCAAAUGCAGUGGCGGUCCCGCCGCAGCUUCCAUCGCGUAGUAGCUAACACCUCGCGACUGGAGAGCGGCGCGGCCACGCCGUAAAACACCCAACUCUUCUGAAGUUGACCUCGAAUCAGGUAGGAAUACCCGCUGAACUUAAGCAUAUCAAUAAGCGGAGGA
rnacentral:misc_RNA from 1 species